rnacentral:lncRNA from 10 species
CAGCCCCCACCCCACCCGGUGGAAGUCCGAGGCCUGAGGGGGGGCAUCGAGCGGGGCGUGGGAGGCCCGCACGCUCCCCACCCCCAGCCGCGACCCGGAGGAGGGGAACGUGCCGGGAGGCUCGAGUCCCCCUCCCAGAGUGCUCUGGGCCGGAGAAACCUCCCGCAGGCUCCCGGGCCAGGCGUGCAAGGCCCCCUCUCCUGCCAGGGCCCAGGACGCUGCGGGCCCCAGCGGAGGGGAAGGGGACUAAGUAGGGGAAGAAGCUGUAAACAGCCCCAGCGUCCGGGCCUCGCCUCGAAGAGCCGCGCUUCCCAGGCCCAGCCGCGGGCCGCCCAGGCCCCCAGCCUGCCCCGGGGCCGCCGCGCCCGGGGUCCGGGACACCGGAGGGGAGUCGGGUCCCCUCCCCGGAGAGCUCCGGGAGCUCGCGGAGCGGCCCCAGGAGCAGAGAAGGGGGAAGUCAGGACUUACCUGUCAUUACUUUCUACGCCAUCUUGGAUCCACUUGUCAACGUCCCCACAAAGCAUUAUGGGUGGGGACCCCUCCCCUAGGAAUGUGGCUCCAGGCUCCGCGGAGCCACCCUGGGAGCGUCCGGGCUGCGGACUGUGACUCCGGGGCAGGCAUUGACCCAAAUAAGUGUUCAGUUUGUGUGACUGCCCAACCCAUUCACUGCCUCCAGUGUGUGCAUCCAAGCCCAACCUUGUCAAAUACACCGCCUGUUGCCUGAGCUGGGACGGCCUGCCGACUCUUCUCCCUGCCCCUCCUGGAUACCUACAAUGCAUCCUCCACCUGACCAACCCUGUGAUAUUUUAUGAAUGUAAAUCAGAUCGAGACUUCUCUGCUGAAACCUUGGAAUAAAACCCAGAUUCCCAACCCUGGCCUACAAGCUCCUGUGUGAGGUGGUCCCACCUUCCCUCACCAGCAGUGGUCCAGGCUGGCCUUCUCUCUUUCCCUGCAGCGCCCCAAGCUUCCUUCCAGUGAGAACCCUAUUCCCCCAGAUCUUCUGAUUAUCUUUUCUUUGACAGAGUCUUGUUCUGUCGACCAGGCUAGAGUGCAGUAGCGCGAUCUCAAUUCACUGCAACCUCCGCCUUCUAGGUUCAAGCUGUUCUCUGCCUCAACCUCCUGAGUAGCUGGGAUUACAGGCGUCCGCCACCGCGCCCGGCUCAUUUUUGUAUUUUUAGUAGAGACAGGGUUUCACCAUCUUGGCCAGGGUGAUCUUGAACUACUGACCUCGUGAUCCAUGCGCCUUGGCCUCCCAAAGUGCUGGGAUUACAGGCGUGAGCCACCACGCCCGACCCAUCAUCUUUUCAUCAUAUUUAGGUCCCCUCAAAGAGGACUUUUGUGAUCCCCCUACCCAGACCAAGUCACUCUGAACACUUGACCUGUGUUAGAAGUUCUCUUGUUUAGGUCGGACGCUGUGGCUCAUGCCUGUAAUCCCAGCACUUUGGGAGGCCAAGGUGGGUGGAUCACAAGGUCAGGAGUUCAAGACCAGCCUGGCCAAGAUGGUGAAACCCUGUCUCUACUAAAGGUACAAAAAUUACAGCGCGCCUGUAAUCCCAGCUACUCGGGAGGCUGAGGCAGGAGAAUUGCUUGAACCUGGGGGGCCAAGGUUGCAGUGAGCCAAGAUCGUGCCACUGCCCUCCAGCCUGGGUGACAGAGUGAGAAUUCCAUCUCAAAAAAAAAGUUCUCUUGUUUGCCUGUUGUUAGUUGUUUCUUAUCUGCCCCGCCCCCAUUUGAUCAUAUGCUCCCUCUGGGCACAGGCUCUGUCUGGCUUAUUUGCCUCAGUGACUAGACCAGGGCCUGGCACAUACAUAGACGCUCACCAAGUAUUAGUCGAGUACAUGACCAAACUUCUCUCAGGGAUGGGCGUGUUGAUGAAAAGGAGUGCUAAAGUGUGAAGUGAGAUGCUGAGGGCCCUGCCUCGCAUCUCUUCAGACCACUGACCACACACAGCUAGAGGCAGGCAGAAAGGAACAGUGUUGAGGGAAAACAGGUCCCUUGGCCACCACUGAUUUAGCUCAAUUCUGAUUCUGAUCUCAUGAACACACACAGCCCUAACUAACUGAUCCCCCCGACAUCACAUCCCUCUUCCUUCCCACAUUUUUUCUUUCUCCUCUGCUCCCACUGGCCGUGGCUUCUUUUCUUUUCUUUUUUUUUUUUUUUUUUGAAACAGUGUCUUUCUCUGUCACCCAGGCCGGAGUGCAGUGGCGCGAUCUUGGCUCACUGCAACCUCCACCUCCUGGGUUCAAGCGAUUCUCCUGCCUCAGCCUCCCGAAUGCUGGCACCACAGGCACACACCACCACGCCCAGGUAAUUUUUGUAUUUUUAGUAGAGACAGGGUUUCACCAUGUUAACUAGGCUGGUCUCGAACUCCUAGCCUGAAGUGACCCACCCGCCUCGGCUU